rnacentral:ncRNA from 1 species
CAAAGCUAUCGUGGCGAUUUGUUCACCGGAUUGCGGGCCACGUAAAAUCAUACCGCUAAAAGGUCGAGACGCGAUGCGC